CGGGUCCUACCGGGGCGCAGCAGUGGGGAAUAUUGGGCAAUGGGCGCAAGCCUGACCCAGCAACGCCGCGUGAAGGAAGAAGGCUUUCGGGUUGUAAACUUCUUUUAAGGGGGAAGAGCAGAAGACGGUACCCCUUGAAUAAGCCACGGCUAACUACGUGCCAGCAGCCGCGGUAAUACGUAGGUGGCAAGCGUUGUCCGGAUUUACUGGGUGUAAAGGGCGUGCAGCCGGGACUGCAAGUCAGAUGUGACAUACGCGGGCUUAACACGCGAACUGCAUUUGAAACUGCGGAUCUUG
rnacentral:rRNA from 1 species